GGGUGCGAUCAUACCAGUACUAAUGCAUCGUAUCCCAUCAGAACUCCACAGUUAAGCGUGCUUGGGCGAGAGUAGUACUAGGAUGGGUGACUUCCUAGCGUGUUGCACCCU
rfam:Gossypium raimondii scaffold_775_contig_3, whole genome shotgun sequence.